rnacentral:rRNA from 1 species
AAAUUGAAGAGUUUGAUCAUGGCUCAGAUUGAACGCUGGCGGCAGGCCUAACACAUGCAAGUCGAACGGUAACAGGAAGCAGCUUGCUGCUUUGCUGACGAGUGGCGGACGGGUGAGUAAUGUCUGGGAAACUGCCUGAUGGAGGGGGAUAACUACUGGAAACGGUGGCUAAUACCGCAUAACGUCGCAAGACCAAAGAGGGGGACCUUCGGGCCUCUUGCCAUCAGAUGUGCCCAGAUGGGAUUAGCUUGUUGGUGAGGUAACGGCUCACCAAGGCGACGAUCCCUAGCUGGUCUGAGAGGAUGACCAGCCACACUGGAACUGAGACACGGUCCAGACUCCUACGGGAGGCAGCAGUGGGGAAUAUUGCACAAUGGGCGCAAGCCUGAUGCAGCCAUGCCGCGUGUAUGAAGAAGGCCUUCGGGUUGUAAAGUACUUUCAGCGGGGAGGAAGGUGUUGUGGUUAAUAACCGCAGCAAUUGACGUUACCCGCAGAAGAAGCACCGGCUAACUCCGUGCCAGCAGCCGCGGUAAUACGGAGGGUGCAAGCGUUAAUCGGAAUUACUGGGCGUAAAGCGCACGCAGGCGGUCUGUCAAGUCGGAUGUGAAAUCCCCGGGCUCAACCUGGGAACUGCAUUCGAAACUGGCAGGCUUGAGUCUUGUAGAGGGGGGUAGAAUUCCAGGUGUAGCGGUGAAAUGCGUAGAGAUCUGGAGGAAUACCGGUGGCGAAGGCGGCCCCCUGGACAAAGACUGACGCUCAGGUGCGAAAGCGUGGGGAGCAAACAGGAUUAGAUACCCUGGUAGUCCACGCCGUAAACGAUGUCUACUUGGAGGUUGUGCCCUUGAGGCGUGGCUUCCGGAGCUAACGCGUUAAGUAGACCGCCUGGGGAGUACGGCCGCAAGGUUAAAACUCAAAUGAAUUGACGGGGGCCCGCACAAGCGGUGGAGCAUGUGGUUUAAUUCGAUGCAACGCGAAGAACCUUACCUGGUCUUGACAUCCACGGAACUUUCCAGAGAUG